rnacentral:rRNA from 1 species
AGUGAACGCUGGCGGUAGGCCUAACACAUGCAAGUCGAACGGCAGGACAGUAAGAGCUUUCCUUUACUGUUAGCGGGUGGCGGGCGGGUGAGGAAUACAUCGGCAUCUACUUAUUCGUGGGGAAUUACGUGGAGCAACUUCUGAUAAUAGAUAAUACUUUGUACGGGUGAGUUCAAAAGUGCUUCGCACCUUGCGCGUUUGAAUGAGCUGGUUCCGCGCUGGAUUGGCUAGUUGGUAAGGUAACGGCCUACCAAGGCGACGAUGCGUAGCUGACCUGAGAGGAUGAUCGGCCACACUGGAACUGAGACACGGUCCAGACUCCUACGGGAGGCAGCAGUGGGGAAUAUUGGACAAUGGGCGAAAGCCUGAUCGAGCAAUGCCGCGUGAGUGAAGAAGGCCUUCGGGUUGUAAAGCCCUGUUGUUAGGAAAGAAAAGCAGUAGGAUAAUAUCCCGAUGUUCUGACGGUACCCAAAGAAUAAGCAACGGCUAACUUCGUG